UACGGAGGGGGCUAGCGUUGUUCGGAAUUACUGGGCGUAAAGCGCACGUAGGCGGCUUUGUAAGUUAGAGGUGAAAGCCCAGAGCUCAACUCUGGAACUGCCUUUAAGACUGCAUCGCUUGAAUCAUGGAGAGGUCAGUGGAAUUCCGAGUGUAGAGGUGAAAUUCGUAGAUAUUCGAAAGAACACCAGUGGCGAAGGCGACUGACUGGACAUGUAUUGACGCUGAGGUGCGAAAGCGUGGGGAGCAAACAGG
rnacentral:rRNA from 1 species